AAAAUGCAAGUCGAGCGGUAGCACAGGGGAGCUUGCCCCCCGGGUGACGAGCGGGGGACGGGUGAGUAAUGUCUGGGAAACUGCCUGAUGGAGGGGGAUAACUACUGGAAACGGUAGCUAAAACCGCAUAACGUCGCAAGACCAAAGAGGGGGACCUUCGGGCCUCUUGCCAUCAGAUGUGCCCAGAUGGGAUUAGCUAGUAGGUGGGGUAAUGGCUCACCUAGGGGACGAUCCCUAGCUGGUCUGAGAGGAUGACCAGCCACACUGGAACUGAGACACGGUCCAGACCCCUACGGGAGGCAGCAGUGGGGAAAAUUGCACAAUGGGGGCAAGCCUGAUGCAGCCAUGCCGCGUGUGUGAAGAAGGCCUUCGGGUUUUAAAGCACUUUCAGCGAGGAGGAAGGUGGUGAACUUAAAACGUUCAUCAAUUGACGUUACUCGCAGAAGAAGCACCGGCUAACCCCGUGCCAGCAGCCGCGGUAAAACGGAGGGUGCAAGCGUUAAUCGGAAUUACUGGGGGUAAAGCGCACGCAGGGGGUUUUUUAAGUCAGAUGUGAAAUCCCCGGGCUCAACCUGGGAACUGCAUUUGAAACUGGCAAGCUAGAGUCUCGUAGAGGGGGGUAGAAUUCCAGGUGUAGCGGUGAAAUGCGUAGAGAUCUGGAGGAAAACCGGUGGGGAAGGGGGCCCCCUGGACGAAGACUGACGCUCAGGUGCGAAAGCGUGGGGAGCAAACAGGAUUAGAUACCCUGGUAGUCCACGCUGUAAACGAUGUCGAUUUGGAGGUUUUGCCCUUGAGGGGUGGCUUCCGGAGCUAACGCGUUAAAUCGACCGCCUGGGGAGUACGGCCGCAAGGUUAAAACUCAAAUGAAUUGACGGGGGCCCGCACAAGCGGUGGAGCAUGUGGUUUAAUUCGAUGCAACGCGAAGAACCUUACCUACUCUUGACAUCCAGAGAACUUAGCAGAGAUGCUUUGGUGCCUUCGGGAACUCUGAGACAGGUGCUGCAUGGCUGUCGUCAGCUCGUUUUUUGAAAUUUUGGGUUAAGUCCCGCAACGAGCGCAACCCUUAUCCUUUUUUGCCAGCGGUUCGGCCGGGAACUCAAAGGAGACUGCCAGUGAUAAACUGGAGGAAGGUGGGGAUGACGUCAAGUCAUCAUGGCCCUUACGAGUAGGGCUACACACGUGCUACAAUGGCAUAUACAAAGAGAAGCGACCUCGCGAGAGCAAGCGGACCUCAUAAAGUAUGUCGUAGUCCGGAUUGGAGUCUGCAACUCGACCCCAUGAAGUCGGAAUCGCUAGUAAUCGUAGAUCAGAAUGCUACGGUGAAAACGUUCCCGGGCCUUUUACACACCGCCCGUCACACCAUGGGAGUGGGUUGCAAAAGAAGUAGGUAGCUUAACCUUCGGGAGGGGGCUUACCACCCCC
rnacentral:rRNA from 1 species